rnacentral:rRNA from 1 species
CCUACGGGUGGCAGCAGUGGGGAAUAUUGCACAAUGGGGGAAACCCUGAUGCAGCGACGCCGCGUGAGUGAAGAAGUAUCUAGGUAUGUAAAGCUCUAUCAGCAGGGAAGAAAAUGACGGUACCUGUUUAAGAAGCCCCGGCUAAAUACGUGCCAGCAGCCGCUGUCAUACGUCGGGGGCAAGCGUUAUCCGGAUUUACUGGGUGUAAAGGGAGCGUAGACGGGAGCACAAGUCUGGAGGGAAAUGCCGGGGCUUAACCCCGGACAUGCGUUGGAAACUGUGCAGGUAGCGUGCAGGAGAGGUAAGUGGAAUUCCUAGUGUAGCGGUGAAAUGCGUAGAUAUUAGGAAGAACCCCAGUGGCGAAGGCAGCUUACUGGACUGUAACUGACGUUGAGGCUCGAAAGCGUGGGUAGCAAACAGGAUUAGAUACCCCUGUAGUC